rnacentral:rRNA from 1 species
CCUACGGGUGGCAGCAGUGAGGAAUAUUGGUCAAUGGUCGGGAGACUGAACCAGCCAAGCCGCGUGAGGGAUGAAGGUACAGAGUAUCGUAAACCUCUUUUGUCAGGGAACAAAGGCGGGGACGCGUCCCCGGAUGAGUGUACCUGAAGAAAAAGCAUCGGCUAACUCCGGGCCAGCAGCCGCGGUAAUACGGAGGAUGCGAGCGUUAUCCGGAUUUAUUGGGUUUAAAGGGUGCGUAGGCGGUCUGUUAAGUCAGUGGUCAAAGCCCGGGGCUCAACCCCGACCCGCCGUUGAAACUGGCAGUCUAGAGUUGGGGAGAGGUGUGCGGAAUGCGGGGUGUAGCGGUGAAAUGCGUAGAUAUCGCGAAGAACUCCGAUUGCGAAGGCAGCAUGCUGGAUCCACACUGACGCUGAGGCACGAAAGCGUGGGUAUCGAACAGGAUUAGAUACCCUUGUAGUC